rnacentral:rRNA from 1 species
UACGUAGGGGGCUAGCGUUGUCCGGAAUCAUUGGGCGUAAAGCGUGCGCAGGCGGUUUUGUAAGUCUGUCGUGAAAGCCCCGGGCUCAACCUGGGAAUUGCGAUGGAGACUGCAAGGCUUGAAUCUGGCAGAGGGGGGGUAGAAUUCCACGUGUAGCAGUGAAAUGCGUAGAGAUGUGGAGGAACACCGAUGGCGAAGGCAGCCCCCUGGGUCAAGAUUGACGCUCAUGCACGAAAGCGUGGGGAGCAAACAGG